GACACUUUGGCCGAGUGGUUAAGGCGUUGGCCUGCUAAGAGUAAUCCUAGCAUAGUUAGCCAAUGGGUUCGCCCGCGUGAGUUCGAAUCUCAUAGGUGUCG